GAAGAACACCAGUGGCGAAAGCGGCUUGCUAGAUCGUAACUGACGUUGAGGCUCGAAAGUAUGGGUAGCAAACGGGAUUAGAUACCCCGGUAGUCCAUACCGUAAACGAUGGGUGCUAGUUGUUAAGAGGUUUCCGCCUCCUAGUGACGUAGCAAACGCAUUAAGCACCCCGCCUGAGGAGUACGGCCGCAAGGCUAAAACUUAAAGGAAUUGACGGGGACCCGCACAAGCGGUGGAGCAUGUGGUUUAAUUCGAAGAUACGCGAAAAACCUUACCAGGUCUUGACAUACCAAUGAUCGCUUUUGUAAUGAAAGCUUUUCUUCGGAACAUUGGAUACAGGUGGUGCAUGGUCGUCGUCAGCUCGUGUCGUGAGAUGUUGGGUUAAGUCCCGCAACGAGCGCAACCCUUGUUAUUAGUUGCCAGCAUUUAGUUGGGCACUCUAAUGA
rnacentral:rRNA from 1 species